rnacentral:tRNA from 1 species
UGUCAAGGGAUGGGAAUCGAACCCACGACCUUCCGCUUACCGGGCAGAUGCCAUGACCACUAGGCCACAUACGAC